UGUUCUCCUGCAGGGGACACAUUGAAGCUGUUAGUAUAAAAAUCAUGUACUGCCGAUUUAUGUAGUGUUACUGCAGGCUGAAAGAAAAACUCUAUAUUUAAUCAAUUUUAUUGUAGCAGCUAGGAUCAGCUUAGUGCUCCUGUGAGUUCCAUUUGUGUCAAUUCAGGUAACCUCUGUGGACAAAGCACUUCCUCUAAUCUCUUAACCCUAACCCGCAGAUUUUUCUCCUGCACGUGUGUAAUUAGAAACAAAGAUUCUCAUCCUGCGUCUCUUAAAGGUCAAAUGUAUUACUCACACUAUUUGGACGGCAUGCAGUUACUCUUCACUUCCUACCUCUAAGCUAAGCUAUGGUUUUAGUUAUUAAAAAUAACUUAAAACAAAUAAAUAAUAAUACUGACGGUUAUGUAUGGAUAUAGAGGCAUCUGUAUUAAUUUCAGUCUUUUUUUUAUUAGUGGCUAAAAAUGUCUCAUGGGAGCUUGAAUAUAUUCAAAAUGUUUGUUUCAUUUUGUCUGUCCACAUGAUAAACACGUUUAUCAGGGAAAAGCUGGCUUAACAAAAUCAGACCAGUAACUUUAAAGCCCCACAAUAACAUGUUGUAUCUCAACAAUCUCUGUUUGGAUUUAAUCUGUAAACCAUAAACUACAAGUUAAAGUUUUACAGAGGGGGUUAAGGGCCAGGUCAUGUCUGAGUCACUUUCUUGUUAAACAACUCACCAACCCCCUUUCAGAAAGUCAGACUUCUGAAACUAUCAUUAAACUAAUCAUUCACUGACAGUUAUUCUGUUGCUCAAUCAUAAUCGUGGUUAAAAUGAGGAGUGUUGCAUUGUGGGAGUGUUAGCAAAAAGAAGGGAAACAAAUGUUGAUCUCUUAUCGUCUUACAGAGAUGUUAUUGUCAAAGCAGGUGGCGGGUCCUUUUCGAUAGCGCGCCACAGCCACUUCUUCACAUGGAUUAUCCUCCAAGACUGAAAAUUCACUCCAUUAAGGAAAACUGAAAAACCCUUUUCCCGUUGUUUAUUCUUUUUUUUCUUUUUGCAAUGUUUCAACCCCGCCCACAAAAUGAUCCUCACAUAUUCCCUGAGACUCUCACCAUGCAGCUGCAGACGUCCACCAAGCAAUGUUUACGAAAUCUGCAAUAGUCGGCUGUAGAAACAGAUGAAAGAGAAUGAUGUUUGAUGGUCUUCCCUCCCACUGUGAUCUCCACCGCUGUGCUGACCAGAAUUCCUAUGGUGUCGUUCUCUGGGUUCAGCAGCUCGUCCC